rnacentral:rRNA from 1 species
GACGAACGCUGGCGGCGUGCUUAACACAUGCAAGUCGAACGGAAAGGCCCUGCUUUUGUGGGGUGCUCGAGUGGCGAACGGGUGAGUAACACGUGAGUAACCUGCCCUUGACUUUGGGAUAACUUCAGGAAACUGGGGCUAAUACCGGAUAGGAGCUCCUGCUGCAUGGUGGGGGGUGGAAAUUUUCGGCGGGUGGGGAUGGACUCGCGGCUUAUCAGCUUGUUGGUGGGGUAGUGGCUUACCAAGGCUUUGACGGGUAGCCGGCCUGAGAGGGUGACCGGCCACAUUGGGACUGAGAUACGGCGCAGACUCGUACGGGAGGCAGCAGUGGGGAAUAUUGCACAAUGGGCGGAAGCCUGAUGAAGAAACGCCGCGUGCGGGAUGACGGCCUUCGGGUUGUAAACCGCUUUCGCCUGUGACGAAGCGUGAGUGACGGUAAUGGGUAAAGAAGCACCGGCUAACUACGUG